rnacentral:rRNA from 1 species
UACGUAGGGUGCAAGCGUUAAUCGGAAUUACUGGGCGUAAAGCGUGCGCAGGCGGUUUGUUAAGUCUGAUGUGAAAGCCCUGGGCUCAACCUGGGAACUGCAUUGGAAACUGGCUUACUAGAGUGCGGUAGAGGGGUGUGGAAUUCCCGGUGUAGCAGUGAAAUGCGUAGAUAUCGGGAGGAACAUCUGUGGCGAAGGCGACACCCUGGACCAGCACUGACACUGAGGCACGAAAGCGUGGGGAGCAAACAGG